UACGUAGGCAGCAAGCGUUGUUCGGAGUUACUGGGCGUAAAGAGUGCGUAGGCGGUCCUGUACGUUUGGUGUGAAAUCUCCCGGCUCAACUGGGAGGGUGCGCCGAAGACUGCAGGGCUUGAGUAUGGGAGAGGUAAGCGGAAUUCCGAGUGUAGAGGUGAAAUUCGUAGAUAUUCGGAAGAACACCAGUGGCGAAGGCGACUUACUGGACGAUUGUUGACGCUGAGGUGCGAAAGCGUGGGGAGCAAACAGG
rnacentral:rRNA from 1 species